rnacentral:rRNA from 1 species
GCAGAACGCGAAGAACCUUACCAGGGCUUAAAUGCAGUCCGACAGGAUUGGAAACAGUCCUUUCUUCGGACGGAUUGCAAGGUGCUGCAUGGUUGUCGUCAGCUCGUGCCGUGAGGUGUCAGGUUAAGUCCUAUAACGAGCGCAACCCCUGCCGUUAGUUGCCAGCGAGUAAAGUCGGGAACUCUAGCGGGACUGCCGGUGCAAACCGUGAGGAAGGUGGGGAUGACGUCAAAUCAUCACGGCCCUUACGUCCUGGGCCACACACGUGCUACAAUGGCAGGUACAAUGGGCAGCCACUGCGCAAGCAGGCGCGAAUCCACAAAACCUGUCUCAGUUCGGAUCGGGGUCUGCAACUCGACCCCGUGAAGCUGGAAUCGCUAGUAAUCGGAUAUCAGCCAUGAUCCGGUGAAUACGUUCCCGGGUCUUGUACACACCG